rnacentral:rRNA from 1 species
UAAGCCAUGCACGUCUGAGUACAUGCCGCAAACGAGAAAGGCGAAACCGCGAAUGGCUCAUUAAAUCAGUUAUGGUCCGCUGGAUCGUACGCCCCUACUUGGAUACCUGUGGCAAUCCUAGAGCUAAUACAUGCAGCAGAGCUCCGACCCUCGGGAACGAGCGCUUUUAUUAGACCAAAACCAAUCGGGCCUCGCGCCCGCAUUCGGUGGCGACUCUGGAUAACUUUGGGCCGAUCGCAACGGGCCCGACCCGGCGACGAUGCUUCCGAGCGUCUGCCUUAUCAACUGUCGAUGGUAGUCCACGCGGCUACCAUGGUCGUAACGGGUGACGGGGAAUCAGGGUUCGAUUCCGGAGAGGGAGCCUGAGAGACGGCUACCACAUCCAAGGAAGGCAGCAGGCACGCAAAUUACCCACUCCCGGCCCGGGGAGGUAGUGACGAAAAAUAACGAUACGGGACUCUUUCGAGACCCCGUAAUCGGAAUGAGGGGCCUCCAAACCCUUCCUCGAGGAUCCAUCGGAGGGCAAGUCUGGUGCCAGCAGCCGCGGUAACCCCAGCUCCGAUAGCGUAUAUUAAAGCUGUUGCGGUUAAAAAGCUCGUAGUCGGAUCUCAGUUCCGGACCGGCGGUGCCGCCCGACGGGCGGCCGCUGCCCGCUCCGAACAGCCUGCCGGUCUCCCUCGAUGAUCUUCACCGGUCGUCCCGGGUUCGCCGGCGAUUUCACUUUGAAAAAAUUAGAGUGCUCAGAGCAGGCGAGACGCCUGGAUAGAUGGUGCAUGGAAUGAUGAAGCAGGACCUCGGAUCUAUUUUGUUGGUUUUCUCUGGUCCCGAGGUAAUGAUCAACAGGGACGGACGGGGGCAUUCGUACUGCGGCGCUAGAGGUGAAAUUCUUGGACCGUCGCAAGACGAACCGCUGCGAAAGCAUUUGCCAAGAAUGCUUCCGUUGAUCAAGAACGAAAGUUGGAGGAUCGAAGGCGAUCAGAUACCGCCCUAGUUCUAACCGUAAACCAUGCCAGCCAGCGAUCCGGCUGCGUUCCUCAAACGACGCGCCGGGCAGCUUCCGGGAAACCAAAAGCUUUUGGGUUCCGGGGGAAGUAUGGUUGCAAAGCUGAAACUUAAAGGAAUUGACGGAUGCGCACUACCAGGAAUGGAGCCUGCGGCUUAAUUUGACUCAACACGGGGAAACUCACCCGGCCCGGACGCAGGAAGGAUUGACAGAUUGAGAGCUCUUUCUUGAUUCUGUGGGUUGUGGUGCAUGGCCGUCCGUAGUUGGUGGAGUGAUUUGUCAGGUUUAUUCCGAUAACGAACGAGGCUCCAGCCUGCUAAAUAGACGAUCCGAUACUCUGCGUCGGACGCUUCUCUUCUUAGAGGGACGGGCGGUUUCCAGCCGCACGACACGGAGCGAUGACAGGUCUGUGAUGCCCUUAGAUGUCCGGGGCCGCACGCGCGCUACAUUGAAGGAGGCAGCGUGCGCUCUCUCCCCGUCCGACAGGACCGGGUAACCCGAUCAAACUCCUGCGUGCUGGGGAUAGGGGCUUGUAAUUGUCCCCCUUGAACGAGGAAUUCCUCGUAAGCGCGAGUCACCAGCUCGCCCUGAUUACGUCCCUGCGCAUUGUACACACCGCCCGUCGCUAAUGUCAAUACGGUGUUUAGUGAGGUCCUCGGACCGGCUCUCUGGCCGCGGGCCGCCCGGGAUGCGGUGCGGACGCGCCUUAGGACGCCGGGAAGACGACCGAACUCGGCACCGCAGAG